UACACCUGUUCCCAUCCCGAACACAGCCGUUAAGUCCUCUAGCGCUGACAAUACUUGGCGGGCAGCCGCCUGGGAAGAUAGGACGUCGCAAAUU
rnacentral:rRNA from 1 species